rnacentral:rRNA from 1 species
ACCAAGCCUAGCCCUAUCAAAUUUAAAUUCAACUACACAUCUCAAUAAAACAAAUCAUUUGACAAAAGAAAGUAUUGGAGAAAGAAAUCUACUUCAGGAGCUAUAGAGAAAGUACCGUAAGGGAAAGAUGAAAGACCCCUAAAAAGUAAAAAUAAGCAAAGAUUAAACCUUGUACCUYUUGCAUAAUGAGUUAACUAGAAAACACCUAGCUAAGAGACCUUAAGCUAGGUACCCCGAAACCAAACGAGCUACCUAGGAGCAGUACAAAGAACUAACCCGUCUAUGUGGCAAAAUAGUGGGAAGACUUCUAGGUAGAGGUGAAAAGCCUAUCGAGCUUGGUGAUAGCUGGUUACCUGAUAAAGAAUUUUAGUUCAACUUUAAGCAUUACCAUAAGAAAUAACAAUCAAAAUGUAAUCUUAAAUUUUAGCCUAAAGAGGGACAGCUCUUCAGGAAUGGAAACAACCUUGAAUAGUGAAUAAACACCUAACCCCAAAAACCACAGUUGGCCUAAAGGCAGCCACCAAUAAAGAAAGCGUUAAAGCUCAACACUAUAAUCCCCUUAAUUCCAUGAAUCUCAAUGAAUUCCUAUAGCACUAAUCAGGUUAAUCUAUAACUAUAUAGAUGUGAUACUGUUAACAUGAGUAACAAGAACACUGUUCUCCAAGCACAGGCCUAUAACAACCCGGAUAACCAUUGUUAGUUAACAUCCUCAGGCACAUAAACCACCAAUAAAACCAACCUACAACUAAAAUGUUAACCCGACACAGGCGUGCAACAAGGAAAGAUUAAAAGAAGUAAAAGGAACUCGGCAAACAAGAAUCCCGCCUGUUUACCAAAAACAUCACCUCUAGCAUACAAAGUAUUAGAGGCACUGCCUGCCCAGUGACAAAAGUUCAACGGCCGCGGUAUCCUGACCGUGCAAAGGUAGCAUAAUCACUUGUUCCUUAAUUGGGGACUGGAAUGAAUGGCCCCACGAGGAUUCAACUGUCUCUUACUUCCAAUCAGUGAAAUUGACCUCCCCGUGAAGAGGCGGGGAUAACACAAUAAGACGAGAAGACCCUAUGGAGCUUCAAUUUCCUGGCUUAACUGUCCAAUUAAUACCCUAAUGGAUCAAAAAAGAAAAGAAAUAAGCCAGUAAUUUCGGUUGGGGUGACCUCGGAGAACAAAACAACCUCCGAACGAUUUUAGCCAAGACCUACAAGUCUAAGCACUAAAAAUCUAAUUGACCCAAUCCAUUUGAUCAACGGACCAAGUUACCCUAGGGAUAACAGCGCAAUCCUAUUCGAGAGUCCAUAUCGACAAUUAGGGUUUACGACCUCGAUGUUGGAUCAGGACAUCCCAAUGGUGCAGCAGCUAUUAAUGGUUCGUUUGUUCAACGAUUAAAGUCCUACGUGAUCUGAGUUCAGACCGGAGCAAUCCAGGUCGGUUUCUAUCUAUUAACUAUUUCUCCCAGUACGAAAGGACAAGAGAAAUGAGGCCUCCUUAACACAAGCGCCUUAAAACUAAUAUAUGAAGUUAUCUCAACUUAGUAAGUUAGUCCAACAACACCCUAGACAAGGGUUU